rnacentral:rRNA from 1 species
GACAGAGGGUGCAAACGUUGCUCGGAAUUACUGGGCGUAAAGCGCGUGUAGGCGGACUGAUAAGUCAGGUGUGAAAUCCCCAGGCUCAACCUGGGAACUGCACUUGAAACUGCCAGUCUUGAGUGAUGGAGAGGAUGGCGGAAUUCCUGGUGUAGAGGUGAAAUUCGUAGAUAUCAGGAGGAACACCGGUGGCGAAGGCGGCCAUCUGGAAAUCUACUGACGCUGAGACGCGAAAGCGUGGGGAGCAAACAGG